CACCGUUUUGGAAUAUCACCAAGUCUAAAAUAGUGACAAUGAUACCGAAAGGAGGGAUGGAGGAGACGACUACUUUGAGAAUUGAAUCAUUCCAAAUCUUUAAUAACGAUAAAUAAUUCUUUAUAAAGAGAAAUUGUCACGAAGUUUUAUUUUCCAUUGAAUUGUGUCCAUGCUGGAGUACCACCUUCAAGUGUAUUAAUAAAUUACAGCAACUCCACUACUUUGUCUGAUACUUAUCAAACUUAUCGGCCACAAGAGGACGGAAGGCAUAAAUUAAUCAGGCAGGAUUAGGACUCAGAACACACAAAUCCAUAUUCAGGCACCACAAGACCUAACCCAUGCAAGCAUGGAAAAGGAGAU